rnacentral:lncRNA from 1 species
AGGAGCAGAGGAGUUUCGUCAUCCAAUAGAUCAAACGGACCAAAUGGGUUAGGCAGGAUUUCACUCAAAGGUUUAAAUGUGACAUCAUCGGGAUUGUUUUGGUGCUGAGAUGUGAUGUGGAUUUGGAGAGAAGAAGGGUUGCGGAGUUCUUGAAGGAAUUGUCGGCAGUGGCCGCAAGGAGCGGCGGAGACGGCGAAUGCGACGAGGCGGGGGCAACGGUGGACGGCGAGGUUCGUGAGGAGAAAUUGCUCGGCGUGGACGGAAUGGUGAAGGGGUAAACCAGGGAACUCGAGGUUAACGCCGAGGAAGACACGACCGUCGGAGCCGAGGCCGACGGCGCCGACGUGAUAAUUGGAGAUGGGCGGCCGGGCGAGUGUCUGGGCUGGUUGAACCAAGGCAGGAAGCAGCUGGCGGACUGAAGGUAGGCCUAGUUUUUGGGCAAUGGACUCAGCCUCUGAGGCUUCCACCACAAAUUUGGGUUGAUCCCGAUCCAUGAUAUUCGUUUUUGUGUAAUGUAAUUCUUUUCUUUUUCUAUUUUUUUACUUUUCUGCUAUUUCCGGUGUUUAUUUUGAGAAGGUUUUGUGUAAGAUUUGAUUGAGGGGAGGAGGGGGGGGGGGGGGUGUAGACGUUUGGUUCUUAGGGGAGCUCCUUGAAAUGAGGAAGAAGAGGG